GGAAAAACCUGACUCUUCUCAAGAUCUGGAGACUGAACACGAAAUAGAACAAGUGGAAUAAUUCGUUGAACGCGUUAACAUCGACAACUCAGAAAAAAUGGCGGACUCUGGAAAGCGAAAGCCGUCAGCGUCCAAGGAAACGUUAGAUACACUUUUGGAGAUAUCCAAACUUUUAAAUACUGGUCUUGAUGCUGAGACUGUAGCAACUUGUGUUCGCCUUUGUGAAAAUGGUGUGAAUCCUGAAGCCUUAGUUUUGGUGAUUCAAGAACUCAGGAGAGAAACCGCAGCUGUUAGAGCAGCAGAAGGAUGAAGGAUAAAACUGAACAAAUGCUGGUUGUGUGCAAAUGGUGUAUGUUGGACAUAAGACUGCAAGGGAAUCCAGUGAAUGAAGAGAGAAUGCAGAUUUUAAAAAUAUUAUGUGGACUGAGAAUUUGACAGGGUGUGAAUCUUCAUAUAAAUAAAUAUAUUUCUAGA